UAAAACGUAGGGGGCGAGCGUUGUCCGGAAUUACUGGGCGUAAAGGGCGCGUAGGUGGUGCAUUAAGUUAGAGGUGAAAGUGCGGGGCUUAACCCCGUGAGGCCUCUGAUACUGGUGGACUUGAGUGCAGGAGAGGGGAGCAGAAUUCCCAGUGUAGCGGUGAAAUGCGUAGAUAUUGGGAGGAAUACCAGUGGCGAAGGCGGCUCUCUGGACUGUAACUGACACUGAGGCGCGAAAGCGUGGGGAGCGAACAGGAUUAGAUACCCUGGUAGUCUACGCCGUAAACGAUGAGUGCUAGGUGUUGGGGGUAUCGACCCCCCCAGUGCCGUAGUUAACACAAUAAGCACUCCGCCUGGGGAGUACGGUCGCAAGACUGAA
rnacentral:rRNA from 1 species